rnacentral:lncRNA from 1 species
UAGCCCAGGACCUCAUUGUCCAUUUUGGGAAUUUUUGGGAAAUUUAGGGAGUUUUUUAUAAGGUCCUUGUAGCCCAAGACCUCAUUGUCCUUUUUGGGAAUUUUUGGGAAAUUUAGGGAAUUUUGGGAAAUUUUGGGAGUUUUUUAUAAGGUCCUUGUACCCCAGGACUUCAUUGUCCAUUUUGGCCUGGAAUGAAGGGAAAAAGUCAUUUGGGGUGCAGAAGGGAAUUUUUGGGAAAUUUAGGGAAUUUUUGGGAAAUUUAGGGAGUUUUUUAUAAGGUCCUUGUAGCCCAGGACCUCAUUGUCCAUUUUGGGAAUUUUUGGNUCCCGGAUCACCUGCGGGAAACGGGAUCGGGGUCAGAGACCCCCCCGGUUCAGCACCAACCCCUCCCCACACAGCAGGGCCAGCACUCACCUCUGGAGACGGAGGAGGAGACAUGGAUUUGGGAGACAGGGAGCGCUGCAGAAGGCAAGGAUUGAAGUAAUUUUAAUUUAUUUUUAAUUAAUUUUAAUUAAUUUUUAAUUAAUUUCAAAAUAUAAAAAUAAUAUUAUUAAUAUUAUAUAAUUCAAUGUAAUUAAAUGAA